rnacentral:snoRNA from 1 species
CUGGAGGAUGAUGAGCUGCACAUGUGGGACCACGGUGCUGUGUACUGUGGGAUCCAACAGAGCUAGGCUGGUGACAAGACAAAAGUGCACAGGGGCCAGCUGACUCCAU